rnacentral:rRNA from 1 species
UGGGGAAUAUUGCACAAUGGGCGCAAGCCUGAUGCAGCCAUGCCGCGUGUGUGAAGAAGGCCUUCGGGUUGUAAAGCACUUUCAGCGAGGAGGAAGGGUGGUGUGUUAAUAGCGCAUCACAUUGACGUUACUCGCAGAAGAAGCACCGGCUAACUCCGUGCCAGCAGCCGCGGUAAUACGGAGGGAGCAAGCGUUAAUCGGAAUUACUGGGCGUAAAGCGCACGCAGGCGGUUUGUUAAGUCAGAUGUGAAAUCCCCGCGCUUAACGUGGGAACUGCAUUUGAAACUGGCAAGCUAGAGUCUUGUAGAGGGGGGUAGAAUUCCAGGUGUAGCGGUGAAAUGCGUAGAGAUCUGGAGGAAUACCGGUGGCGAAGGCGGCCCCCUGGACAAAGACUGACGCUCAGGUGCGAAAGCGUGGGGAGCAAACA